AGAGAGAGACAUGCGUGCAUAUCAAUAAGCGGGAGGAAAAGAAACUAACAAGGAUUCCCCUAGUAACGGCGAGUGAAGCGGGAAGAGCUCAAAUUUGAAAUCUUAAAGGGUUUCCCUUUACGAAUUGUAGUUUAAAGAAGUGUUUUCUGUUGAGGUUUUGGUAAAAGUUCUUUGGAAUAGGACAUCAUAGAGGGUGAGAAUCCCGUAUUUGACCUUUACUUUCAACUUUGUGAUACACUUUCAAAGAGUCGGAUUGUUUGGGAAUGCAGUCCAAAAUGGGUGGUAAAUUUCAUCUAAAGCUAAAUAUUGGCGAGAGACCGAUAGCGAACAAGUACCGUGAGGGAAAGACUGAAAAGAACUUUGAAAAGAGAGUUAAACAGUACGUGAAAUUGUCAAAAGGGAAGCGUUUGACACCAGUGUUGUUUUUCUGAAAAUCAAUUAAAGAACUGUUUAUGCUAAGUUGUUUAGACUUUAUCAGCUAACUGUUUAGUUUUGAGCUUUUCUUUAAUGCACUUUUCAGUUAACAAGUCAACAUCAAUUUCUUUUGCUGUAAAAAAGCUUGAGGAAGGUGGCUUGAGAUUCGUCUUAAGUGUUUAUAGCCUCUUGCCUAUGCAGUCGGAGAGAUUGAGGUCUGCAGCGUAGAUCCUUCGGGGCUAAAUGCAUUUGUGCUAGGUUAUAGCAUUUUAUAGACAACUUGUUGACUAUGAUUUGUCUUGUAGCUUACUCGCUUAUGUUAUUUUACCUACGCUUAGGAUGUUGAGCGCAUGUCUCUCUCU
rnacentral:rRNA from 1 species